CUGUGUAUGUGUGAUGUAAUGUAUCAAACGCCUGUGCACUCGACGUUGUGUUCCAUGGGCAGACUUGGUAUGUUAUGCAUGAGAAGGGCUCAAGAACCGAGCCAAAAAACAUUGCUUUGACAAGCAGUGACUGCAAACAAAUUUAAAGGGAGAACCAUUCAAAUAAAAUAAACUGAUAAGUUGGUGAAAGCUAGACUGUAUUGUAAUGUAAU